rnacentral:rRNA from 1 species
GUGAGGAAUAUUGGUCAAUGGGCGAGAGCCUGAACCAGCCAAGUCGCGUGAAGGAUGAAGGUUUUAUGAAUUGUAAACUUCUUUUGCAGGGGAAUAAAGUACGGUACGUGUACCGUUUUGUAUGUACUCUGCGAAUAAGGAUCGGCUAACUCCGUGCCAGCAGCCGCGGUAAUACGGAGGAUCCAAGCGUUAUCCGGAUUUAUUGGGUUUAAAGGUUGCGCAGGCGGGUUGAUAAGUCAGCGGUGAAAGUUUGCAGCUUAACUGUAAAAUUGCCGUUGAAACUGUCGAGCUUGAGUGCAAAUGAGGUAAGCGGAAUGUGUUGUGUAGCUGUGAAAUGCUUAGAUAUAACACAGAACACCGAUUGCGAAGGCAGCUUACUAAGCUACAACUGACACUGAAGCACGAAAGCGUGGGGAUCAAACAGGAUUAGAAACCCCUGUAGUCC